rnacentral:rRNA from 1 species
AGAGUUCUUUCCUGGCUCAGGACGAACGCUGGCGGCGUGCUUAACACAUGCAAGUCGAGCGAGGAUAUUGUUGGAAGGUUUCGGCUGGAAGAUAAUAUUCUAGCGGCGGACGGGUGAGUAACGCGUGAGCAAUCUGUCCCAGACAGGGGGAUAACAGAUGGAAACAUCUGCUAAUACCGCAUAAGACCACGGAUGGGCAUCCAUUUGAGGUAAAAGAUUUAUCGGUUUGGGGUGAGCUCGCGUCCGAUUAGGUAGUUGGUGAGGUAACGGCCCACCAAGCCCGCGAUCGGUAGCCGACCUGAGAGGGUGAUCGGCCACAUUGGAACUGAGACACGGUCCAGACUCCUACGGGAGGCAGCAGUGGGGAAUAUUGGGCAAUGGGCGAAAGCCUGACCCAGCAACGCCGCGUGAAGGAAGAAGGUUUUCGGAUUGUAAACUUCUGUCCUAAGUGACGAAGGAAGUGACGGUAGCUUAGGAGGAAGCCCCGGCUAACUACGUGCCAGCAGCCGCGGUAAUACGUAGGGGGCGAGCGUUGUCCGGAAUGACUGGGCGUAAAGGGCGUGUAGGCGGCUCUUUAAGUAUGGAGUGAAAACCCAGCUUUUAAGGUUGGGCCUGCUUUGUAGACUGGAGAGCUUGAGUGCGGAAGAGGUAAGUGGAAUUCCCAGUGUAGCGGUGAAAUGCGUAGAGAUUGGGAGGAACACCAGUGGCGAAGGCGGCUUGCUGGACGAUGACUGACGUUGAGGCUCGAAAGCGUGGGGAGCAAACAGGAUUAGAUACCCUGGUAGUCCACGCCGUAAACG